rnacentral:tRNA from 1 species
GGGGGAUGGGACUGCAUGGGGUGGUCACUUGCCUUGCAAGCAAGAAAACAGAUGGGUUCGAUUCCCAUAUCCUCCA